rnacentral:lncRNA from 1 species
UGGGUUUGAAAAAUAAAAACUGUUUGUUGCAGUGCUGUCACUGAUGAUCAUGCUUUGCCAUCUGUAUGGUUGAAUAGACUUGGACAAUUCACAAGGCCCACAGGAUUGAAGGCUUGGUCUUCUUCAUACUCCAUAUGAUUUUGUCUGAUCUAGUCUGUAAGGUCCUUGGGGCAGAGAGAAUGUUUUCCUUUUUCUAUGUCAUUGAAUGGCACUCAUUAAAGUGUUUUCCAAAGACAGAUUGCUACCUACAGUGGGCUGGACAAGACUUUAGUAUUCUGAGAGGCACAUCAAAGCCUGCAGCAUGAUAUGUGUCUGUAUUAUGACCAUUUUUAAAAGCUCUCUGCCUAUCUGUCUUUGUCUUUAAGCAAUUUUCUUUACUUCCAGUGGAAAGUUAAGAUGUGGGUAGAGACACUAAGAUCUGAUUUAAGCUCAUGAGGUUUUGGUGAAAGCUAGAAGCUCAUUAUCUUCUGUAAUGUGUUGCGGUUUAUAUCAUUGUCUAGCAAAGUAAAAUUGAAACCACUGAGUAAGUGCCUUUUCCCCCUAGCCUGUGUAAGUGCCUCUUUCCUAAUUGAAGACUCAAACUUAU